AUAUCAGCUUAAUAGAGAGGAUGCUUUUGAACCUUAACUGAUUUUCCUUUGUCUUAUUUCUCAGUUGAUCUUCAACUCAGAUGGAGGUGUUAUGUGUAUCCUUAUCACACCCUCCCCCAAGAACUAUUGAGGGAACUAAAGAAUUCUAGCAGGACAGGGAAGAAUACCAUUUUCCCCAGAAUUUCUGGUACAUGGAUGAUGAUCAAUAAAUAUUAUGGUGAAAGAACAGUUUGUCAUAAUUUUACAGAAGGCAUACCAGAGGAUCAAGAUGAACAUUGGCUCAGGGAGGAUCUACUCUCAACCAUAGGGAUAAUCUUGGAUUUUCAUUGAUCAUUCCCUUUUCAUUUUUCAUUGUCUUUUCUUUCCAGUUUGCUUUUGUAUUUCCUUACUUUCAUUACCAGGUCAUUUUCCUUAAUUCCUUCUUUUUGGAAAACAGCAUGAAUAAAUGGAAGGAACAUGAAUUUUGGAGUAUAAAUAGACCUGAGUUUCAAUACAACUUUGCCUGUUACUAGAUGUGCAUUCUUGGGUAAGUUAUUUACCCUUUGGAACUCUACUGUUUUCUUCUAAGGAUUGCCUGUGAAAAUACGAAUAAUAUUCAUAAGGCAUCUAGCACAGUGCCUGGCCCAUGGAAGACAUAUGUUACCUGUGAUUAUUAACUUUACUACUCUGACUUUCUUGCCCUGCAUUUUUUUCUGUGAUCACUUGCCAUUUUUUAUUGGGCUUAGAUGAAUCUAUACAUUUGUGAUCUCUGAAAAUAGUGGUUUACCUUCUUUCCUCUUAAUAUUAGGUCAGCAAUAUGACAUCAGAAAAACAGCUUAUGCAGUCAGCCUGAAUUACAAGAGAAUGAAUAAAAGUUGAAUGUGUCCAGAAUCAGAGUACUAGAGCCUUGAUGGAUUUUAGAGACCAGCUGCUUCAACUCUUUUUAUUUUAUAGAUGAACAAACUGACAUAGCAAAGAUAAGCAAUUUGCCCAAAGCCCAUGGAAGAGCAUAUGUAGAUGUAGAUACUGAGAUUUCCCCACUUAGGAAAAUACUUUAUUUUAAUUAAGACAAAAUUCAUAAAACAUAAGUUAACCAUUUAAAAAUGUAUAAUUCAGUGGCAAACAGUACAUUUACAAUGUGCAGCCCUCACCUUUAUCUAUUUCCAAAACAUUUUCAUCACCCCGUGUUCAUUAAGCAGUCACCCCGCCCCAUCCUCCCUCAUACCAGCCCCUGGUAAUCACUAAUCUGCUUUCUGUUUCUAUGGACUUGCUUAUUCUGGACAUUUCAUGCAAAUAGAAUCAUAUACUCUGUGAUCUUUUGUGUCUGAUCUCUUUUACUCAGUAUAACGUCUUCAAUUCAUACUCAUUGUUUAAAAAUUCAAACAUUAAGGACAGUAUAAUGAAGAAACUAAAAAAAUAUUCUGUAAUCUCACCUACCUUUGAUGAAGACUAUUAACAGUGUGGUGAUUGUUGCUGUUACCAUUGUCUCCCACAUAAAUGGGUUUACACUAUUCACACCUUUUACUUGAAUUUGGUUUUUCACUUAAGACUUGUGAAACAGUUUCCUGUGUCAACACACAUACAGAUCUCUUCAUUCUCUUUUAUACUUUGUAUGUUUUAUUAUAUGGUUAGUCUAGG
rnacentral:lncRNA from 1 species